GUGUCAGCCGCCGCGGUAAUACGGAGGAUGCAAGCGUUAUCCGGAUUCAUUGGGUUUAAAGGGUGCGCAGGCGGAAUGAUAAGUCAGUGGUGAAAUCCUACGGCUCAACUGUAGAACUGCCAUUGAUACUGUUGUUCUUGAGUACACUUGGAGUGGGCGGAAUGUGUCAUGUAGCGGUGAAAUGCUUAAAUAUGACACAAAACACCGAUCGCGAAGGCAGCUCACUAAGUUGUAACUGACGCUCAGGCACGAAAGCGUGGGGAUCAAACAGGAUUAGAUACCCUGGUAGUCCACGCUGUAAACGAUGAUCACUCGAUGUUGGCGAUAUACUGUCAGCGUCUAAGCGAAAGCAUUAAGUGAUCCACCUGGGGAGUACGAUCGCAAGAUUGAAACUCAAAGGAGUUGACGGGGGCCCGCACAAGCGGAGGAGCAUGUGGUUUAAUUCGAUGGUACGCGAGGAACCUUACCUGGGUUAGAACGCUGGGCGACCGUCCGGGGAACCGGAUUUCUCUUCGGAGCGGCCAGCGAGGUGCUGCAUGGUUGUCGUCAGCUCGUGCCGUGAGGUGUCGGGUUAAGUCCCAUAACGAGCGCAACCCCUAUCAUUAGUUGCCAUCAGGUCAUGCUGGGAACUCUAGUGAAACUGCCUACGCAAGUAGUGAGGAAGGUGGGGAUGACGUCAAAUCAGCACGGCCCUUACGUCCAGGGCUACACACGUGCUACAAUGGCCGGUACAAAGGGCAGCUACCUGGUGACAGGAUGCAAAUCUCUAAAACCGGUCUCAGUUCGGAUCGAAGUCUGCAACUCGACUUCGUGAAGUUGGAUUCGCUAGUAAUCGUAUAUCAGCAAUGAUACGGUGAAUACGUUCCCGGGCCUUGUACACACCGCCCGUCAAGCCAUGGGAGUUGGGGGUACCUAAAGUUCGUGACCGCAAGGAGCGACCUAGGGUAAAACCAAUGACUGGGGCUAAGUCGUAACAAGGUAGCC
rnacentral:rRNA from 1 species